rfam:Brachybacterium muris TCD-AY4 genomic scaffold scaffold1.1, whole genome shotgun sequence.
GGGCCUGUAGCUCAGUUGGCAGAGCAUCGGACUUUUAAUCCGCGGGUCGAGGGUUCGAUCCCCUCCGGGCCCA